CAACAAAAUGUAAUUGUAGAUGCACAGGCUUGGUUCACUGACACUGAAAAUACAAAUCUGAUUGUACCUUCCACAAACACUUCCUGUGCUGGUGAAAGUACAAUAAAUAUUGCAAAUGCUCUAAUUGACUUACAUCACAGUCAUAGUCCGCGAUUUAUAAAUAGCCAGAAAGGAAAACCUCUGUUAUUUUAUAACAUGUUUUUAUAUAGAAUUGAUCACCAUAAAGAUUUGAUUAGUUAUUAUAGGUGUAGAAAUAUUAGUUGCAAAGGAAGAUGCAAAUAUGAUGGUAUUUAUACGAUGACUUGUGGGCAUUCUCAUCAACAUGAGACAUAUAUAUACGAAAAACUUAGGACUAAAGAGGUGAUUGAAAUUCUAGUGGCCGAAAAUCCUCUGGAAUCAAGAUUGACAAUUUAUAAUAAGGCAAUGCAGAUUAGAUGCUCGGAGUGCUUGGAUAUUGCAGAAUAUCCAGAGGCUAUUCCAUCAUUUGUAUCCUUCAAAACCACAAUUGAUAGGAUAUUAAAAAAGUAUCGACCUGUGUUACCUUAUGCU